CAUGUACUCCCUCCGUUCGAAAAUACUUGUCCUAGAAAUGGUUGUAUCUGGACUUAUUUUAGUUAUAGAUACAUCCAUUUUAUCUAUUUUUAGGACAAAUAUUUCCGGACGGAGGGAGUAGUAC
rnacentral:pre_miRNA from 1 species